rnacentral:lncRNA from 1 species
UAAAUGGCAACUAGUCACACAUAUAGUGGUCACACAUCUACCAGGGUUUCAAUCAAUUGUUAAACAAAUAAAUCAUAAAAAUCAAUUCUUCUUUUGUGCUAUUAUCAGUGCAGAUACAAAUGAGCAUGAUAAUGUAGAACAUCUAUAGUGACCUUAGAAUUUUCUCUGGACAUAUCUUGCAAAAUUUUGUUUUGUGUUUUGUAUUUUUGGGAUCUACCUCCUUAUAAUAGCUUGACAAGGAAAAAAUCCUGGCUAUAUGAUGGCAGAAGAAAUAAAUAAAAAGAAAUAGAAAGCAGUGCAUACGGAAGUGGAGGCAAGACACAAACGUGGAAAUUCCCCUGAUGACAUCAAAUUGUGUUACUGAUCCCACAUUCUUCUACAAAGAAAGUAAUGAAAGGACUCAAAGAAUCUACACUUGGUGACAUCUUAUUCUACUUAACUUGAGCUACACAGGGUGGGAUGAGACGUACAGAACCCAAGACCAAGUGACUGAGUAUAUCGGUAAGUCCAAAAAAUUCUGUGUGUUGCAGAAUUCCCUAGAACUUAGAACAAAGAAAAUGUUUCAGAAUUUGAGGCAA